AUACGGAGGUGGCAAGCGUUGCUCGGAAUUAUUGGGCGUAAAGCGCACGUAGGCGGUCUCGUAAGUCGGGUGUGAAAGCCCCAGGCUCAACCUGGGAAGUGCACUCGAAACUGCUAGGCUUGAGUACGGAAGAGGGUCUCGGAAUUCCCGGUGUAGAGGUGAAAUUCGUAGAUAUCGGGAGGAACACCAGUGGCGAAGGCGGAGACCUGGGCCGAUACUGACGCUGAGGUGCGAAAGCGUGGGGAGCAAACA
rnacentral:rRNA from 1 species